rnacentral:misc_RNA from 1 species
CGCACAUUGCGCCCAUUAGUAUUCUAGUGGGCAUGCCUGUUCGAGCGUCAUUUCAACCCUUAAGCCUCUGUUGCUUAGUGUUGGGAGCCUACAGUACUGUAGCUCCUCAAAGUUAGUGGCGGAGUCGGCUCACAGCUCUAGACGUAGUAAUUUUUUUCCUCGCCUGUGUGUUGUGCCGGUCCCCUGCCGUAAAACCCCCUAAUUUUUCAAGGUUGACCUCGGAUCAGGUAGGAAUACCCGCUGAACUUAA